GACAACGUGGUGGAGUGGUUAACACGUUCGCCUGCUAUUACAGGUCCUUGAAAGAGGCAUGUAAAGUUCAGCGGAUGCCUUCGGGCGCGCAAGUUCGAAUCUUGUCGUUGUCG